CUACGGGUGGCAGCAGUGGGGAAUAUUGCACAAUGGGCGCAAGCCUGAUGCAGCAACGCCGCGUGAGGGGUGAAGGCCUUCGGGUUGUAAACCUCUUUUAGCAGGGAAGAAGCGAAAGUGACGGUACCUGCAGAAAAAGCACCGGCUAACUACGUGCCAGCAGCCGCGGUAAUACGUAGGGUGCAAGCGUUGUCCGGAAUUAUUGGGCGUAAAGAGCUCGUAGGCGGUUUGUCACAUCUGCUGUGAAAAUCCAAGGCUCAACCUUGGACUUGCAGUGGGUACGGGCAGGCUAGAGUGCGGUAGGGGAGAUGGGAAUUCCUGGUGUAGCGGUGGAAUGCGCAGAUAUCAGGAGGAACACCGAUGGCGAAGGCACAUCUCUGGGCCGUAACUGACGCUGAGGAGCGAAAGCGUGGGGAGCGAACAGGAUUAGAUACCCCAGUAGUC
rnacentral:rRNA from 1 species